rnacentral:rRNA from 1 species
CCUACGGGAGGCAGCAGUGGGGAAUAUUGCGCAAUGGGGGCAACCCUGAUCCAGCAACGCCGCGUGAGGGAAGAAGGCUUUCGGGUUGUAAACUUCUUUUAAGGGGGAAGAGGGGAAGACGGUACCCCUUGAAUAAGCCACGGCUAACUACGUGCCAGCAGCCGCGGUUAUACGUAGGUGGCAAGCGUUGUCCGGAUUUACUGGGUGUAAAGGGCGUGCAGCCGGGAGGACAAGUCAGAUGUGAAAUCCCGCGGCUCAACCGCGGAACUGCCUUUGAAACUGUGUUUCUUGAGUACCGGAGAGGUCAUCGGAAUUCCUUGUGUAGCGGUGAAAUGCGUAGAUAUAAGGAGGAACACCAGUGGCGAAGGCGGAUGACUGGACGGCAACUGACGGUGAGGCGCGAAGGCGUGGGGAGCAAACAGGAUUAGAUACCCCAGUAGUC